AGCGUUGAAACACUGGUUCCCGUACGUUCAUCAGAGUUAAGCAACGUUGAACCUGAUUAGUACCUAGAUGGGUGACCGCUUCAAAAUACCAGGUGCUGUAA